UACGGAGGGUGCAAGCGUUACUCGGAAUCACUGGGCGUAAAGGACACGUAGGCGGGUAGCCAAGUCUGAUGUGAAAUCCUACAGCUUAACUGUAGAACUGCAUUGGAAACUGGUUACCUAGAGUAUGGGAGGGGGAGAUGGAAUUAGUGGUGUAGGGGUAAAAUCCGUAGAUAUCACUAGGAAUACCGAAAGCGAAGGCGAUCUCCUGGAACAUUACUGACGCUAAGGUGUGAAAGCGUGGGGAGCAAACGGG
rnacentral:rRNA from 1 species